rnacentral:misc_RNA from 1 species
GAUCCAUCUCACUCCUCCCAUCAAUGGCGGCGGCGGCAAUGGCGAUGACGGCGGCAGCAGCAACAGCGAUGCCACUCCCCAAAUCCCCCUUCCUCAACCUCCAACCCCGCAACACCAGCCUCCAAGUCGCGAUCCGCCGUUCCUUCCCCAAAACCCUAGGCGUCGCCGCCGCCCCUCGCACCACUACCCCUCGUGCUUCUGCCUCCGCCUCCUCUCCUUCUGCCUCCGCCUCCCCCACCUCCUUCCACGGCCCCUGCUUCGUCCUCGGCAACAAUAUCGACACCGACCAGAUUAUUCCCGCCGAGCACCUCACCCUCGUCCCCUCCAACCCCGAUGAGUACCGCAAACUCGGCUCCCUCGCCCUCAUCGGCCUCCCUGCCGCCUUCCACUCCGUCCCCUUCAUCACCCCGCCCUCCACCACCACCCGCUUCCCCAUCAUCAUCGCCGGCGCCAACUUCGGCUGCGGAUCCUCCCGCGAGCACGCGCCGGUUGCCCUCGGUGCCGCCGGCUGCCAGGUAGUUGUUGCCGAGUAUUACGCCCGUAUAUUUUUCAGGAAUUCCGUGGCGACGGGGGAGAUCUAUCCACUGGAGUCGGAGGCGACGGGGCUAUGGAAGGAGUGUACUACCGGGGAUGUGGUGACGGUUGAUCUCGCAGGGAGCCGGCUGAUUAAUCAUACUACUGGGAUUGAGUACAAGUUGAAGCCGAUUGGGGAUGCAGGGCCGGUGAUCGAGGCUGGGGGGAUCUUUGCUUAUGCGAGGAAGACCGGAAUGAUUGCCUCUAAGGCUUGAUCUCUUGUGGAUCGAAGGUCUCUGGAUCAUUCUAGUAUUAUGGGGUUGCAAACAGCUUGUCAAGUACUGUGGUUUAUCCGUUGAUGUGAGUUGCAAGUUUCAUUGAUAAUAAAACUGUAGGGAAUAAUGGUCUCUCUUUAGCUUUACCUUUGUAUUAGUGUUAUUUACCAUCAAGACCAUCUCCGUUGAUCAGGCUUACCGUUGAUGCUGUAGCUGGAAUAAGUGUUUAGAGUUGUUUGAGUGUUGUAAUCAC